UGCUAAUCUGCGAUAAGCGUCGGUAAGGUGAUAUGAACCGUUAUAGCCGGCGAUUUCCGAAUGGGGAAACCCAGUGUGUUUCGACACACUAUCGUUAAGUGAAUACAUAGCUUAACGAAGCGAACCGGGGGAACUGAAACAUCUAAGUACCCCGAGGAAAAGAAAUCAACCGAGAUUCCCCCAGUAGCGGCGAGCGAACGGGGAGCAGCCCAGAGUCUGAAUCAGCAUGUG
rnacentral:rRNA from 1 species